AACGAACGCUGGCGGCAUGCCUAACACAUGCAAGUCGAACGACACCAUCGGGUGUAGUGGCGCACGGGUGCGUAACGCGUGGGAACCUGCCCUUAGGUUCGGAAUAACACCCCUAAGGGGGUGCUAAUACCGGAUAAUGUCCUCGGACCAAAGAUUUGUCGCCGUAGGAUGGGCCCGAGUUGGUUUAGCUAGUUGGUAGUGUAAAAGCCUACCAAGGCGACGAUCCAUAGCUGGGCUGAGAGGAUGAUCAGCCACACUGGGACUGAGACACGGCCCAGACUCCUACGGGAGGCAGCAGUGUGGAAUAUUGGACAAUGGGCGAAAGCCUGAUCCAGCUAUGCCGCGUGAGUGAUGAAGGCCUUAGGGUUGUAAAGCUCUUUUACCCGGGAUGAUAAUGACAGUACCGGGAGAAUAAGCGCCGGCUAACUCCGUG
rnacentral:rRNA from 1 species